rnacentral:rRNA from 1 species
CCUGACGCAGCGACGCCGCGUGGAGGAUGACACAUUUCGGUGCGUAAACUCCUUUUAUAUGAGAAGAUAAUGACGGUAUCAUAUGAAUAAGCACCGGCUAACUCCGUGCCAGCAGCCGCGGUAAUACGGGGGGUGCAAGCGUUACUCGGAAUCACUGGGCGUAAAGAGCAUGUAGGCUGGUUUGUAAGUUGGAAGUGAAAUCCUAUGGCUUAACCAUAGAACUGCUUCCAAAACUGCAGACCUAGAGUAUGGGAGAGGUAGAUGGAAUUUCUGGUGUAGGGGUAAAAUCCGUAGAGAUCAGAAGGAAUACCGAUUGCGAAGGCGAUCUACUGGAACAUCACUGACGCUGAGAUGCGAAAGCGUGGGGAGCAAACAGGAUUAGAUACCCUGGUAGUCCACGCCCUAAACGAUGCACACUAGUUGUUGCUAUGCUCGACAUAGCAGUAAUGCAGUUAACACAGUAAGUGUGCCGCCUGGGGAGUACGGUCGCAAGAUUAAAACUCAAAGGAAUUGACGG